rnacentral:rRNA from 1 species
GAUGAACGCUGGCGGCGUGCCUAAUACAUGCAAGUCGAGCGAACGGACGAGAAGCUUGCUUCUCUGAUGUUAGCGGCGGACGGGUGAGUAACACGUGGAUAACCUACCUAUAAGACUGGGAUAACUUCGGGAAACCGGAGCUAAUACCGGAUAAUAUUUUGAACCGCAUGGUUCAAAAGUGAAAGACGGUCUUGCUGUCACUUAUAGAUGGAUCCGCGCUGCAUUAGCUAGUUGGUAAGGUAACGGCUUACCAAGGCAACGAUGCAUAGCCGACCUGAGAGGUGGAUCGGCCACACUGGAACUGAGACACGGUCCAGACUCCUACGGGAGGCAGCGUGAGGGAAUCUUCCGCAAUGGGCGAAAUCCUGACGGGGCAACGCCGCGUGAGUGAUGAAGGUCUUCGGAUCGUAAAACUCUGUUAUUAGGGAAGAACAUAUGUGUAAGUAACUGUGCACAUCUGGACGGUACCAAAGCAGAAAGCCACGGCUAACUACGG